rnacentral:miRNA from 1 species
ACGGGUCGCUCUCACCUGGAG